GGCUCAUCAUGAGGUAUCCGACCUUUAGAAAUGCCAAAGCGUGGAUUUUAGUGAGCGAGAAGAAAGGGCUUGAUAGAGGGCCCUCGUCAUCAUGAGCGAAAGAGACAGAAACAGGGCAAUCGGUAAGCAGCAACAACAGCGCUUCAAUGAGGAAAGCUUUGACUACAAGUCUCCAAGACCUCCGGUUCUUGGGGAGGAGAGGAGCCAUUUUUCGUCAGACUGGGGACCGCCACCUUCUCAAAUGGACUGGAACAAUUACAAGUCUUCCCCGCCUCCACCUCGAAAGUAUAGCAGCUAUCAGAAUGAAUCCCCACCAGCCCCCUUUGGAUACGAACCCGAAGGCAGUUGCCAGUCGAAUUCCCAUUCCUCUUCCAGACACGAACGAGUUUCCUGCGACGAUUCCCCACCCCCAGCCUGCGUCAAAUGGGCGCAGUCUCUCCAUUCUCUUCUCCAAGACCCCGAUGGAGUCAAACUCUUCCAACAGUAUUUGGAAUCUGAGGGUCAGCAUCACGCCGACACUCUCGACUUUUGGUUCGCUUGUGAGGGACUCCGCAAGCAGACUGCGAGAGAGAAAAUACAUCAGUUGGUUAAAGUUAUAUAUAAGAAAUUUUUCGUUAAGUCUGCCCUUCCUAUCGGCGAGGAGUUGAGGAAGGAAAUCGGUAAACAAAUUAAGUCGUCUCAGUGCCUUGAGCCCCCCGUAACACUGUUCGAUAAAGCGCAGUCCAUUGUCGAACAUUUAAUUUACGAAACCACAUACCAAAAUUUCCUCAAAUCCGAUCUGUACCUGCAAAAUUUACAAAAUGUUCAAAGUAGUAGCAGUAGUAGUAGCGAAUUUAGUAAUGUAUUAUCAAACUUAAAUGUACCGGAUCCCUUGCCAACACUUCACGAAGAUAUGGAAUUAAUUAUGAACCCACCGGUUCAUCUGAGUCAUACUUCAGGAAAUGGUAGUGUGAGUACUGGCUACCACACUCCUAAUGUUGGUGCGACAGGACCCGUCCGCCUUACUAGGGACUCCUUACUCAUUUCCCAGAAACGUAGGGCUGCCGAAGUGAGGCCUAAAUCUGAAGCAGUCGCCAGUAUGUUCAUGUACCGUUCUGCUGCCGCUGGAGCUCAUGCUGCGUAUAACUCGUACAACCCGAAUUCGAGGCAGGAUAGCGAGUUACAUUCGUUGAGUAGUCAUUCGGAUGCUAGAACAGAAUCAGACAACAUGUCCAUGACGAGCAGCUCUGUUGAUGGCAGAUCACUGGGUAGAACAUCUCGUCGUAAAGCGGUUAUGGAAGCAAGGAAAACCCGCGAGUAUGCAGCUCUUAAUCAGGAAACCAACAUGAACCAAAUUCUAAUUCCAAGAACACAACGCGUCGAUACUAAACAGUGUCAGCCAAUGGACAGGGACACGUUUGCAUCCAUCCUAAUUGAAAAGUUGGAAGCGGUCAAGUUGUCUCAGGAGAAACAAGAAUUGUUGGAGAGAAAAUUGAAAGAGAGCGAUUCGAUGGGCUCUAUGAGCGACAUACAGUCUCGAGAGCUGGCAAAUGCUAUCAGGGAGAAGUUGCAGCUAGAAGACGAUAAUGACCAGGACAUUCUCGAUCAGCAUGUAUCCAGGGUGUUUUCUGAUUUGACGCCGGCAAUGUCUCCGGGACUUUCCAGCCGUAGAUCACAUUCGCCCCCUAGGAAUAGACAUGUUCAGGGUGCAUAUAUGCGACCAAGGCGGAAAGACAAAGAUGGCUUCUCGACUUUCAGUGGUGAUUCUGGUAACGUUCACGACUAUGCUGACGGAUCGGAACAUAAAUUGUCGAUGGUGAAGUCGAAGAGUAUGUCGGAAUACCCAGAUGAGAGAUUUGUCAGAGGAUCUUCUGGCAGAAGAUCUUCCAAAAAGACCCUUACCGAGCUGACGGACAGCGGAGUGUCUGUCGUGUCGGAUACAAUAUCGGCAACUGCACCCAUCAAAGACACUCGCGUGAUCGCUUGGUUAAUGGAGUCCGAUAAAAGCGGCCGAGGUUCAAGUCAUACUCACAGUGAAAUGUCCUUGAAGCACCGAAGCCACAGAACUAGUAGCGUAACUUCUCCCAACGCCAGCAGGAGACGGAAAGGUUUCGGAUCGAGAUCCAGUUCUUUGGAGAGGGGCAGCAGCAGUGGAGCAUUGGGUCCAGCGCAACCAUUCAUCGCAGACCCUAGCAUGCCGCCGUUACCCUCUCCAAACACUGCUAUUCAACUGGAGGAAGCUAGAAGGAGAUUGAUGGAGGAUGAUGUUAGAACCAGGCCUAAACAAAGGUCGUCUAACCGAUAUUAUCCGGAUGUUGCUCAGAGCAGUCAGUCUACUUUGAGAAAAUCGAUGAGGGGUCCACGGACUGCAAUGGCCGGAGCCGAAGAUGUUACGACAGUAGUAUUCAAUUUUUGCGAAGAACAGUUUCCUUACAGAACCAAAAUUCCUGGCACUCAGGUCACUUUAAGACAGUUCAAGGAAUAUCUUCCGAAAAAAGGAAAUUACAGGUACUUUUUCAAGACGGUGUGCGAAGAACUUGGUAAUCAAGUUAUCCAAGAAGAAGUCAUCAAUGAUGCAGAGGUACUUCCUUUAUGGGAAGGAAAAAUAAUGGCUCAGGUGAAGCCAAUCGACUGAGUUAUUACGUUUUUUUGAACGUAAUUUGGAAAUCUUAUACGAAUCUUUUUUUGAAACCUCUUAUUUAAAUUAAAAGCGACGAUUUUUGUAAUAUAGAAUUUUGUAAUUAGAAGUAGAAUAUAGGAAGUACUAUUAAAAAUGCAAUAACUUUUGUAAAUAAAAAUAGUAGGUGCAUAUAUUAAGUGCCUUCAAAUGUUCAAUUCACUUUUUUUACUCUAACUUCCAUAGAGAUAGUAUGUCUGUUAUGAAUGCUUCCUUUCUGAGAAUUUCAGCAACGAAAAAAAUGUUUUGCCUACAACAAAUAAAUUUGACAUCACUUUUA
rnacentral:misc_RNA from 1 species